rnacentral:sRNA from 1 species
AUUUUACUUAUUUUUGUUGAACGGAAUUAAUUUUAUUGAACGGUUUAGAUUGAAUCGGAUCAUAUAAAGUUAAGUAGAUUGUUAAGACCAAAUUACCAUAAUGAUUUUGAAUAGCAAAGAACAAAAUCCAAAAUUAAAAUCAAAAUUAAGGCGAAAUUAAACAAAAUUUUAAUUUGUAUUUCCCUUUUAAUAAUAAAGAGAUUGACGUCAUCUUGAAUGUUUCAGUGUCAGC